rnacentral:rRNA from 1 species
GGGAAUAUUGGACAAUGGGGGAAACCCUGAUCCAGCAAUGCCGCGUGAGUGAAGAAGGCCUUAGGGUUGUAAAGCUCUUUCGCCCGCGAAGAUAAUGACGGUAGCGGGAGAAGAAGCCCCGGCUAACUCCGUGCCAGCAGCCGCGGUAAUACGGAGGGGGCUAGCGUUGUUCGGAAUUACUGGGCGUAAAGCGUACGUAGGCGGAUGCGCAAGUUGGGGGUGAAAUCCCGGGGCUUAACCUCGGAAUUGCCCUCAAAACUGCACGUCUUGAGACCGAGAGAGGUAAGGGGAAUUCCGAGUGUAGAGGUGAAAUUCGUAGAUAUUAGGAAGAACACCAGUGGCGAAGGCGCCUUACUGGCUCGGUACUGACGCUGAGGUACGAAAGCGUGGGGAGCAAACA